UGUGGCUCAGUGGUAGAGCACCUGCCUAGCAACCACAAGGCCCUGAGUUCAAACCUCAGUA
rnacentral:tRNA from 1 species